GCUACUGUGGCUCAGCUGGUAGAGCAGCUCACUCGUAAUGAGCAGGUCGCCUGUUCGAAUCAGGUCAGUAGCUCCA
rnacentral:tRNA from 35 species